CCUACGGGAGGCAGUGGGGAAUAUUGGACAAUGGGGGGAACCCUGAUCCAGCCAUGCCGCGUGUGUGAAGAAGGCCCUCGGGUUGUAAAGCACUUUCAGUGAGGAAGAACGCCUGGUGGUUAAUACCCAUCAGGAAAGACAUCACUCACAGAAGAAGCACCGGCUAACUCCGUGCCAGCAGCCGCGGUAAUACGGAGGGUGCGAGCGUUAAUCGGAAUUACUGGGCGUAAAGCGCGCGUAGGUGGCUUGAUAAGCCGGUUGUGAAAGCCCCGGGCUCAACCUGGGAACGGCAUCCGGAACUGUCAAGCUAGAGUGCAGGAGAGGAAGGUAGAAUUCCCGGUGUAGCGGUGAAAUGCGUAGAGAUCGGGAGGAAUACCAGUGGCGAAGGCGGCCUUCUGGACUGACACUGACACUGAGGUGCGAAAGCGUGGGUAGCAAACAGGAUUAGAUACCCGAGUAGUC
rnacentral:rRNA from 1 species